rnacentral:rRNA from 1 species
AUGCAUGGAAGUAAAACAUAUGUUAAGGAAUGGGAACUGGAUACCGCAAGCCUGACAUCGAGACUCAAAGCCAAUAAGCAUCAGCUAGUGGACAAUGUUGUGAAGCUUAUUGUUCUACAUCAUGUGCAAUCCUUUGUUUGGAGUGCUCUACCAUUUGGGGGUGUGGACAAUGGUGUAAAUCUCUAUAUUUUGGGUGGAUCUACUUACCUUUUUUUAGUUACCUGGUUAAACUUGUUUAGAUUUCUUAAAACUUUUUUGUCGAGCCUUGUACUCAUGUCGUGCUCUGCUUGCUACAAAAUGUAUGGUCACAUGAUUUCUUAA